rnacentral:rRNA from 1 species
CUCCCAUGGGUUAGUCGGUACCUAAGCCGAGGCCGAAAGGCGUAGGUGAUGGAAAGCAGGUUAAUAUUCCUGCACCACUAGGGAUGGCGUUGAAGUGAGCAGGGACGGAGAAGGGUAGGCCAAGCACCGUGUAGGAUCGGUGUUCAAGCCCGUAGGGAGUCUUUCCAGGACCCGAUAGGGACAAACGGAGAGACGCUAUCCCGAGAGGUGAUGAGGUUGGAGCUUCGGCUCCGGCAACUUGGUGAUCCCAGGCUUCCCAGAAAAGCUGCGCACAGAGCCCCUCUAGUGACCGUACCGCAAACCGACUCAGGUGGGCGGGAAGAAUAUUCCAAGGCGCGUGAGAGAACCGUUGUUAAGGAACUCGCAAACUGACACCGUAACUUCGGGAGAAGGUGUGCCCCAUAGUGUUAGAGGCUUCGCGCCUCGAGGCACUGCGGGGUCGCAGAGAAACGGGGGUUGCGACUGUUUACUAAAAACGCAGGACUCUGCGAAGACGUAAGUCGACGUAUAGGGUCUGAUGCCUGCCCGGUGCUGGAAGGUUAAGGGGACAAGUUAGCGCAAGCGAAGCUUCGAACCGAAGCCCCAGUAAACGGCGGCCGUAACUAUAACGGUCCUAAGGUAGCGAAAUUCCUUGUCGGGUAAUCCGACCUGCACGAAGGGCAUAACGACAUCCCCGCUGUCUCGACAACGGACUCAGCGAAAUUGUAUUGGGGGUGAAGAUACCCUCUACCCGCGGCAAGACGGAAAGACCCCAUGAACCUUUACUGCAACUUGGCAGUGAUUUCCGGGAUACUCUGCGUAGGAUAGGUGGGAGGCUGUGAAGCUGGGCUUCUGGGUUCAGCAGAGCCACCGUUGAAAUACCACCCUGGGUAUUCUGGGAAUCUAACCUGGACGAGUAUACCCUCGUCGGGGACACUGCCUGGUGGGCAGUUUGACUGGGGCGGUCGCCUCCCAAAAUGUAACGGAGGCGUGCGAAGGUCCCCUCAGGUCGAUUGGAAACCGACCGUAGAGUGCAAACGCACAAGGGGGCUUAACUGCGAGACCGACAGGUCGAGCAGGUGCGAAAGCAGGCGUUAGUGAUCCGGUGGUCCCGCAUGGAAGGGCCAUCGCUUAUCGGAUAAAAGGUACUCUGGGGAUAACAGGCUGAUCGCGCCUGAGAGUUCACAUCGGCGGCGCGGUUUGGCACCUCGAUGUCGGCCCAUCGCAUCCUGGGGCUGGAGCAGGUCCCAAGGGUUCGGCUGUUCGCCGAUUAAAGCGGUACGCGAGCUGGGUUUAAAACGUCGUGAGACAGUUUGGUCCCUAUCUGCCGUGGGCGUAGGAAACUUGAGAGGAGCUAUCCAUAGUACGAGAGGACCCGGAUGGACGCGCCUCUAGUGAUCCGGUUGUCCUGCCAAGGGCACCGCCGGGUAGCUAUGCGCGGAACAGAUAACCGCUGAAAGCAUCUAAGCGGGAAGCUGGCCUCGAGAUUAGGUUUCCCGGGCGCAAGCCCCUAAAGACCCCUUGUAGACUACAAGGUUGAUAGGCUGGGGGUGGAAGCACAGCGAUGUGCGGAGCUGACCAGUACUAAUCGGUCGUGCGGCUUGACCU